AACGAACGCUGGCGGCAUGCCUAACACAUGCAAGUCGAACGAGACCUUCGGGUCUAGUGGCGCACGGGUGCGUAACGCGUGGGAACCUGCCCUUAGGUUCGGAAUAACUCAGAGAAAUUUGAGCUAAUACCGGAUAAUGUCUUCGGACCAAAGAUUUAUCGCCUUUGGAUGGGCCCGCGUAGGAUUAGCUUGUUGGUGGGGUAAUGGCCUACCAAGGCGACGAUCCUUAGCUGGUCUGAGAGGAUGAUCAGCCACACUGGGACUGAGACACGGCCCAGACUCCUACGGGAGGCAGCAGUGGGGAAUAUUGGACAAUGGGCGAAAGCAUGAUCCAGCAAUGCCGCGUGAGUGAUGAAGGCCUUAGGGUUGUAAAGCUCUUUUACCAGGGAUGAUAAUGACAGUACCUGGAGAAUAAGCUCCGGCUAACUCCGUG
rnacentral:rRNA from 1 species